rfam:Ictidomys tridecemlineatus contig007896, whole genome shotgun sequence.
GGGGCUGUGGCUCAGUGGCAGAGCACUCGCCUCAUAAGCAUGAGGCAUUGGGUUCAAUCCUCAGCACCA